rnacentral:rRNA from 1 species
GACGAACGCUGGCGGCGGGCUUAACACAUGCAAGUCGAACGGUGAAGGGACCGGUUUUUGCUGGUUCCGGAUGAGUGGCGAACGGGGGAGUAACACGCGAGGAACCUGCCCCCUUCUUCUGGAUAACCGCAUGAAAGUUUGGCUAAAACGGGAUAUUCUGCUCCUGCUGCAUGGUGGGGGUGGGAAAGAUAUGGUCUCGUGGGGGGAUGGGCUCGCGGCCUAUCAGCUUGUUGGUGGGGGGAUCGCCUACGAAGGCGGUGACGGGUAGCCGGCAUGGGAGGGUCGACGGUCACGCUGGGGCUGCGCCGCGGCGCAGCCUCCUACGGGAGGCAGCAGGGAGGAUUAUUGCACGAUGGGCGGCCGGAUGAUGCAGCGACGCCGCGUGAGAGAUGGACGCCUUCGGGUUGUACACCUCUUUCGCCAGUGAAGCAGGCCUGUCCCUUUUGUGGGUGGGUUGACGGUAGCUGGAUAAGAAGCGCCGGCUAACUACGUG